rnacentral:lncRNA from 12 species
GUGUUCUUAAGGGGCAUGUGGCUUAGUUGAGGGACCCAUGGCAUGAGAAUAUACACCGCUGACAUAGGUACAUAGGUCGGGCUUGGGACAGAGCAAUGUGGUCUAGAUGUAGCCCUAUCUUUCCUUCGUCAGGCCAUCCACGAGAAAGCUGCACGACAAUACCUGUAAUUGGGUUAAUGACAGAAGUCUAAGUGUCACUGAAGUUCCAAGCGGGCCCUGGACUUGCCCAGGAGAAGGCCGCUGGCCAGAGAACUUUUAUAGAAAGCUGCUGACAAGACUGGAUGAGAUGCUACAGCUGACAAGUAUAUGAAAAAGAAUGAAAUAACUUGAGUUCUGGAGUGAACAGUUAAGUUCCUGGAUUGUUGAAAGUUCCAUUCUUUACAUGGGACUAACCAUCUUUUGUGAGGUAAUUACAGAAAUGCUGGCGAGCUCUUUCCAUUAGUGGUUCUUGCAUACAGUAUGCACUUCUUAUGUUGUGGGGCUCUUUUUUGUUGUUGUUCACAAUUCACCUUAGGGGUUUUCUCAAACUCUGCAUUCUUAUUCUAUAGCGGUUUUUAGCUUUCUUUUUUCUUUCCAGGCUGGGUGGAUGAUGCAGUUUCACUUCUAGGUGUUAGGAUUCUCUUUCACACUGGUUUGUCAUGACCUUAAAGUAUUUUAAGUUUCUCCUUUGGUAAAUUUUUCUUUUUUAAAAAUAUGGUACCCCAGUAAGCCAGAGAUUUGUUAUACCAAAUGAGUUUAUAUAAAAUGCCAGCACCUGGAGAAGCCAUAGUUCAUAAGCAUCGUUGGAGUUGACCAAAUGUCAAACCCCACCAGGGAUCUACAUUUUUAUUUAUUUUGACAGGUUUUGGGGUCCAGACUUAAAGGCUAUGGUUCUGAGUUGCCUUUAGGUUGCAAGAAUUGCCCAUGUGGUAUAUAAAUGCCAAAGAAGAAAAAAAAAUGUUAUAAUCAUAAUUGUCUUCAUGUAUAAUCGCCAUCAUAGCUCUUCCCUGUAGAUAACUGAGGAGGCCUAAUAGUCGUUUUGAGCUGCAGCCACCCACAAAAACCACACACAUGGCAUUUUACUCAAAACCUUACUUUAACCACUACUUUGUGAUGCAAAACUGGUGGAAUUUUGGGUACUUUCUGUAAAAUUGAAAUCUUUAAGGGGGUUUUCCAACAUUCUGGUUGAUUGUUAGCAAAUUAUCAGUAUAAUGAACAAGAGCAAAGUAGGGUUUGCUAAUAAACACCUACUUCUAUGGUAGGAUAGGAUGCCA